rnacentral:lncRNA from 1 species
UUCCUUUCCCAAUUUUGCACGUUUGCUGCUAGUGCUACUUGUAGGGGAGUUCUCUUCUCUCUGAUCAGCACCACUCCCAUCCGUAAUUGCCAAUAGGCUUGAUUUGUUUGGGUGGCCUGAGUUUACAACAGCAUCAUCCAUAUUUAGUCUCUUCCUUGGGUCCUUAUCUAAUUCCAUCCCCAUGCCUGCUGGCUUCUCUAGACUAGAAGCAGUAUCCGCAAGUGCAGGGUCCAUAUCACCUUGCC